UGUCCUUUUGGCAUGCGCAGAUGGUGAAACCUAAGGCACGCCCCCAUACGUCAUCUCCGAUGCGACAGGAAGUCAGGAGGUAGGGAAAUCUCACGAGACAACAUUGUGCGGGCCGCCG